rnacentral:lncRNA from 1 species
GCACCAAUGCGGCACCCACUAAGCGCGACAUCACCUUCUUCUAUUAGCCAAAUUGGGUUGAGUUAAUAGAGGUACUUGAUAACAUCAAUUUGAUAAGUUUUAAAACUUAAUUGCACUUUUUUGAUAGUUUUAGGACUCAAUUGCACUUUCAUGACAAGUUUCAAGACUUUCGGUACACUUCUAUCUUCUGCAAAUCUAAUUGUUUCCUGAAUUUUUACUUGCCUUACCUUCAGUAAGAAAUAUGAUAGUGAUGAUGUUUUGAAAGAGACAGUGUAUUCAAACCUUUUAUUAAGAUGCAAGUGAUUAUGUAAUUGUGAAAAAGCUCUGGAUAAAAUACCAGUUGCUAUUUGGCCUACAUAUCCUAAAUAGUUUUAUAACCUCUGGUAGGAAUACACAAUGAUUAAGUCUUUGAUGUAAUUAAGAGAGGAUUUCCAUGAUCAUGUAGACAAUCAUACAGUUACUCAGUUAAAUGACACUAAUUAGAUACCAAAGCUAGUCAUUCUUGCAGUUACUCAUUUUAAGAUGUAAAUCACAAAGGUUGCUUUGAUGAAUUCAACAAAACUGUAAGAAAUUGUCCCAUCCCUUUGUCACCAAUCAAUUUUCCAUCUCAAACCUCUUCAAACAGGACAAUUAUAGUAUAAAGUUCCUAAUUUCAUGCACCUCUUUAUCACCACAUAGUCUUUAGACUUUAGGCCAUUAACUUGUCGAAUUUUGGAUGUUAUUCUACAUUUGUUGAGUUGUUUAUUCACUCAAAUUUUUCUCUCAUGAGCUCAGCAAAAGAGGAUAACUUGAGCAGAGUUUGUUGACACACUAAGGAGCAUCGCGAGGGACUUGUGGCUGAGGGCUGUGAUGAACCACUUGGCACCACGGUAAUAUUCGAACUUGUUUGCCAUCAUAUCCGAUAUAGCAGAGACUCUUCUUUUUUGUUUCCUGUAUGGUCAAACGUUCUCUCCAAUGUGUCUUUUCUUAUUGUUUUCUUCUAGGGAUUUUGUUAACGAGUGCCCAAGAGGAACAUGAUAUACAUCAAAAAUAGAGAAAGUAUGUCAUAUCCUAAGCACUGUCAUUCUUGUGUUGUGGAUGAUCAGUGCAUUGAAGAUGAAAAUGUGUCUUUAUUAGGUAAUGUUAAUAAGACACGUUUUGUAAUAUGGUUAUCUGGACCUUCAAAUUAACUCAUACACACUAAACUCAGUUGGAUUUGAUGAAUCAUAGAUGGUCAUGGAUUUUUCUACUUGUGAAGCCAGCUCCUAGGUGCCACACCAAGACCUCCUCUCUAGGUAGCACUUGGCUGUUACAUCUCGAUGAAAUUAGUCAAAUGCUCUAUUUAGAUUGACCAGCCACAUAACAUCAUGGGAAGAAAGGGCAGCUAAGGGAGCAUUUGGUAACACUCCUGAGAACAAGUAUUUCUUCUCGUUUGUUCCUUGAAACAAAAAUGGAACAAAAAUGCGUUUGGUAAUUUUUUUGUUUCUGGAAAUAGAUUUGGAACAGAAAUAAGAAACAAAAACAAAAUUGUUUCUUGUUCUUGCGAACAACUCAAGAAACAAGUUUUUCUUUUCUCUUCCUUUCUUCUUCCCCCAGCUGAUCAUUGGCCUUGGUGAUGGCCGGCUAUCGGCCAAACAAGUCUCGGCAACCUUGCUAGAGCCUUGUCGACCCCCGGUGAGGUCGCCCCAAGCUUGCUGGCCACCGGUGAGGCCCCUCAAGUCUUGUCGUGGCUAGGUGAGGCCCCCCCGCGCCUCGUUGUGGCUAGGCAAGGCCAAGCCUCACUCGGCCACCGCAAAUUUGGCGUCACUUGGCCUCACAGAUCUGGGCCAAGUGGAGCCUCACUCAGCCAAGGCUCGGCUCGACUCGAUCUCCCUUGACCACCGCGAGGUUGGCUUCGCCUAGGUGGGCGAGGCCAACCUCGAGGUGGCCAGGUGAGGCUCGGCCUCGCUAGAUCUAGGCAAGGUCGCCUUGCCAAGCCACGGCGAGGCUCUCCCGAGGCCGGCGACCUUGCUAACCCUCGUCUAGCUAGUCGUCAGCCGGCCAUGGCCAAGGCUAGCGACCGGCUAGAUGGAGGAGAAGAAAAAGAAAAAAGAAAAGAAAAAAAGGAAAAUGUACUAGAAUUAUAAAAAGAAUUAAAAGAAAUUGUAAGUCAGAAAAAUAUUUGGGGUCAUACCAAACGUAUUUCUGUUCCUGGAAUAAAAAUUUUAUAUUAUUAUCAAAUGCCUUAAAAUCUCGGUAAUAGAAAUAGAAAGUUGUUUUUGAAAAGAAACUGUUCCCGGGAAUAGAAACAUUACCAAACGCAGCCUAAUUAUCUAUAAAAGUUGAUAAAAUUGCUAAAUUGCAGUCUCUUGAUCAAUGCUCAAUUUGUAACAGAAAGCACAAAUCAAAGAAAAAGAAUCAGGAAGCAAAUAUCCAUAGUAGAUUUACUUGCCCUUGUGGGAGAAAGAAUUCUUGUAAUGUCCUAAUACGGCUCCAUCUUCUAAUGUCAAUGCAUAUCUGAAGAAAAACCAUGGCCAUGCUCUCUGGAUAAAAUAGAAUAUCUUUUUACCACACUUGGAAGAGAGUUUUCACUAUAUUCCUUGAGAAAUAAGAAAAUCUGUACAAUUCAAAUUUUAUUAUCCCUAUAGAGUGAGAACAUUUUGUGUCUAUUAAAUCAUUGACACGCCAAAUCCAAUUUGAUGUCUACAUAAUUUGUAUCUCUUCAGAUGUGGUGAUGCGUGAUGGGGCGAGUGAUUCCAAAUGGCCUCCCAUUGAUAAUUAUCGAUAUACCAUAAAGUACCGAUAAGUAAUUAACAUUAUUCAUUCAAAAUGAUCCAUCGAAGCACAUAAUGCCCAAUUUUUUCCUUGGCUUGGAUAAGUAUCGAUGGUUUUGAGUUGGUCGAUGGAGCUACGUUGGAUGCUUCCGCAUCAUGUGGGGUCCAUGAUUGACAAGUAUUUUUAGGGGAAUAUUAAGUCCUAGCAUUAGAAAGAUGCCCCCAAUCCAUGUGCAAUAAAUAUGCUUUUGUAUAUAAUAGGUUCCAUAUGCAGAUGUUUAUAAUUCAUUAGACAUGUAGAGACGAUUCUUUUUUUUUUCUUUUUUUUUUAAACCAUUUUGAGGAUUGCUUGGGCGUGCCUUGUUUUGUUUUAUUAAAUUGGUAAGAUUUUGUGCAAAUUAAUCUUCUGAUUUUUGUUCUAUGUAAAUCUUUCUUGCUAGUUGUAUCAUCACAUUUGUACCUGUGUUUGUUAUCUCCAUAUCUUUACCAGUUAGUCCUUAUCUUUUCUCUAAAAUCCAUUUGUAGUUUCAUGCAAUGUUUUUCAGGCUUGUUUCUGGUUUUAAUUGAAAAGUUGGACAUGCAUGAUCAAGAAGUUAAGAAAUAUGCUUGAUGUACAGAGUGUGUCUUCUGUUCAGAUGGUCUGUUUGCAUGGAUUACGUAGGACGAUUUGUUGUGUCCAGUGAAAAGAAGAUAAUCUGUCAGAGUUCAAUGGAAGAUUGCAAGAGAGGGCCUUCACUAGGCGCAAAUGAUUUGUGUCUCAGAAUGGUCGCUACCGGAAGGCAACUAUUAGCAAGCAACCUCGGAGUAU